GGGUAUCGCCAAGCGGUAAGGCACCGGAUUCUGAUUCCGGCAUUCCGAGGUUCGAAUCCUCGUACC
rnacentral:tRNA from 1 species